GACGAACGCUGGCGGCGUGCCUAACACAUGCAAGUCGAACGGAAGUUAGAGCUUCGGUUUUAACUUUAGUGGCGAACGGGUGAGUAACGCGUGAGGAACCUGCCUUUCAGUGGGGGACAACAGUUGGAAACGACUGCUAAUACCGCAUGACACUUUUGGGAGACAUCUCCUGGAAGUCAAAGCUUUAUGUGCUGAAAGAUGGCCUCGCGUCUGAUUAGCUGGUUGGUGAGGUAACGGCUCACCAAGGCGACGAUCAGUAGCCGGUCUGAGAGGAUGAACGGCCACAUUGGGACUGAGAUACGGCCCAGACUCCUACGGGAGGCAGCAGUGGGGAAUAUUGGGCAAUGGGGGAAACCCUGACCCAGCAACGCCGCGUGAAGGAAGAAGGCCUUCGGGUUGUAAACUUCUUUUACCAGGGACGAAGGACGUGACGGUACCUGGAGAAAAAGCAA
rnacentral:rRNA from 1 species